rnacentral:misc_RNA from 1 species
GAUGAAGAACGCAGCGAAAUGCGAUAGGUAAUGUGAAUUGCAGAAUUCAGUGAAUCAUCGAAUCUUUGAACGCACAUUGUGCCCUUUGGUAUUCCUUAGGGCAUGCCUGUUCGAGCGUCACUACACACCUUAUCACAAUAUUUGUGGUCUUGGCAGGAGUGAAUUGCUGGUCUAUGGAAGUAUUCCAGCAGUACACAAUGCUAAAAAAUAUGGGAAGGUUACCAGAUAUGAACAACAGACUUUGUAAAUGGUUGUAGGACCUAGAUCAGUCACAAGUCAUGUCUGGUCCCUUACCUUAAGGACCCCCAUCCUAGAUGAACUAUGGGUUGACCUCGGAUCAGGUAGGAAUACCCGCUGAACUUAAGCAUAUCAAUAAGCGGAGGA